rnacentral:lncRNA from 1 species
AUUAAUCUUAUUAGAGGAAAUCCUUUUGGAAGUUCUGGUAGAAACACACCUUCAUAACCCUGCAAAAAAAAAGAAAUAUAAAUGAACCAGGAAUAGAAAGGGAAUAGGUUAGUUCAUAACUUAGUAAAAAAUAGUCUCUAUGCAUGAGGAAAACCACCAGAUUCCUCUUCUCAAACUCAUCCUUAAUCUCCUUACAAUUUGCCAAAAGUGUUACCUUUUUUUUCCACUUAGAAUUACCUUUUCCUUAACUCUACUCCACAGUACCCUUGACAUCAUUACUAGCAUCCAUAAAAUUUACCUUCUCUUUCAACUAGCUCAACUUAUGAUACAUGUCACUAACUU